AACGAACGCUGGCGGCAUGCCUAACACAUGCAAGUCGAACGAGACCUUCGGGUCUAGUGGCGCACGGGUGCGUAACGCGUGGGAACCUGCCCUUAGGUUCGGAAUAACUCCCCGAAAGGGGUGCUAAUACCGGAUAAUGUCUUCGGACCAAAGGUUUAUCGCCUUUGGAUGGGCCCGCGUUGGAUUAGCUAGUUGGUGGGGUAAAAGCCUACCAAGGCGACGAUCCAUAGCUGGUCUGAGAGGAUGAUCAGCCACACUGGGACUGAGACACGGCCCAGACUCCUACGGGAGGCAGCAGUGGGGAAUAUUGGACAAUGGGCGAAAGCCUGAUCCAGCAAUGCCGCGUGAGUGAUGAAGGCCUUAGGGUUGUAAAGCUCUUUUACCCGGGAUGAUAAUGACAGUACCGGGAGAAUAAGCUCCGGCUAACUCCGUG
rnacentral:rRNA from 1 species